GACCGCGUGGCUCAGUUGGCAGAGCAUUGGGCUAGUAUUCCAACAGUCGUAGGUUCGAUUCCUACAGUGGACA